GCCUUCAUAGUAUAGUGGUCAGCACGCUGGGCGCAUAUUCCAGAGGUCCCGUGGUUCGAUUCCCGGCGAAGGCG